AAAACAGCGAUGAACGCUAGCGGCAGGCUUAAUACAUGCAAGUCGAACGGGAUUCGGGGUAGCAAUACUUUGAUGAGAGUGGCGCACGGGUGCGUAACGCGUAUGCAACCUACCUUUAACAGGGGAAUAGCCCCGAGAAAUCGGGAUUAAUACUCCGUAACAUUGCGGUGUGGCAUCACACUGCACUUAAAGCUGAGGCGGUUAAAGAUGGGCAUGCGUGACAUUAGCUAGUUGGUGAGGUAACGGCUCACCAAGGCAACGAUGUCUAGGGGUCCUGAGAGGGUUAUCCCCCACACUGGUACUGAGACACGGACCAG
rnacentral:rRNA from 1 species